rnacentral:lncRNA from 1 species
GCUAGCUCAAAAAGCGCAGUGCUGAAGUCACACUGAUGUCACUGCAGAAGCCCAGAGGAGCUAAGGAGAGUGGGAAGUGAUGGAGCAUCAGAGCCCAACAGACAGAUGGGGUUUCUCCUUUCUAACUACAUGAGGACGCCCGACCUCUUCAGGCCCUGUUCCCCUGGGAAUCGAUAAUAUCACAUCACAGUUUUGCUGAGCAGAUGACACUAAGAUCACAUAGGUGAGCACACCCGGCACACAGUAGGCACUUCACAUGCACUUGUUCCCUUCCCUUUAGAGCCAAGCCCUCUUGAAGAAACCCACCUGGAUCUGGUCACCAGUGACUCAGAAGCCCAACGUGCGUGCAGCUUACAGAACGGUCACACGCGAUCCUGUGUGUCAUGAUCUCGCUAUUCUUUCGGUUCUAGUGUUUUCCUUUAUUCACCCCCUCCUAGGUGUCUUUAAGCAGCUCUGCUCUCUGGUUUCCCCAAGCAGAGUUCCAUUUUCUCGGUACCUCUCCACAUGCCUGGAUGGUGCUCUCUAGCAGUGGUUGGGGCUGGCUGUGGUUUCUGAGCUUCUAAGAUCCCCCAGACCCCUGCUGGAAGUGAGUUCCUGCCUUGGGUGUGCCUGAGUGUGCUGAGUCGAAAGUCAUUUUUUUUUUUUUUUUUUUUUUUUUUUUUGCGGGGAACUGUGCGUGCACAACACAGCCAGGGAGUGACCUAGUCCAGGGAGCCUAGUCUCCCCUUAACACAGCAUGCGGAAGAAUAAAGACCCAGGCUCUAUCAUAAAAUGGGGGCAGGUAAAGAGCAGUUAGGCGAGGGGGCGUGGGCCGUCAGGGUAGGGGCCUCAGUAAACAGAGUUGAACAAGGGCCUCUCCCAGCUCCACCCUGGCUUUAAACCCCAUGGUUUGCAGUUCGGCUCCAGAGGCCUCCCAGUGACCCCAAUCUCAUUCCUCUCGACUCAACAGUGAUGGCGGAAGGCAGGAAGAUAAGCUGGACUCCUUGAAGCCGACACCCCCCAGGGAAAUUCCAUCACCCGCCUUGAGCACUGUAGACCGGGCUGGGCUGUCCCCCCUUGGAAGUAGGAAGCAGAGGGAAGACGGAGCCAGUGUCCUCCACCUGUUUGCAGACGCGCCUGUGCAGGAGGCAGGAGAGACUCCAAGCCCACUACCUACAGAGUCCUGGCUUCUCAAGUAAGGUUAAGUGCAGAGAAGGCACCAGAGUCCCUGGGAUCUGCUACUUUAACUGGGGAGACCUGUAAGUAACAUCGAAUUACUAGGUUCUCUAGUAAUCAUUUUCCCUCUGAAAAGAAUUCAAUGCCCAUAGGAGAUGGAGCUUCCGGUAGCCUGAAGCAGCCCAUCUGGGCCUGGAUGUUGUUUCGUGUGGAAGAUGGUAUUUGCAUCCUGGGGAAAGCAUCUUGGUGUCCAGGCUCUGGCUGUGGGGGUUAGGUGCCUGCAACACCCCCUCUCCCCUGUCAUCCCUCCUGAGCCAGGCAGGCCUUCAGCACUCCCUACCACUGAGACUAUAGACUGAGAAGUAACUCCCUGUCGCUGGGCCUCCAUGAUGUCGGUCUUCUGUACCUUACAGGCCUUGCCUCAGUGCUGCCCACCUUCAUGUCUGGGAGAGUCUUCAUUGAUUGCUGGGGACCAAAACCAACUUAGACUAGGGAUCCCAGUUCCAGCACCCAUGCCCAGGGCCCUUUCUUCCUUUAAAAUAGACGGCUGACUCUGGCCCUUCUUCACUGAUGGGCGAUGGCUUCCUGCACUGCUUUGUUUUCUUCUUCAUCCAAGUGUUGUCCUGUGAAUCUCAGAGUGUGGUCUUUGGACCAACGGCACCACCGUCACCUGUGAGCUUGUUGACUGCAAAUUCUCUGGUUCUACCCAAGACCUGCUGAAUCCGAGACUCUGGAGGCAUGGCCAUGCUAUCUGUAUUUUAACAAGCACUCCAGGGGAUUCACGGGCAUGCUUAAGUCUGAGAACCACUGGUGCAGUAUAUUACCUAGGAGCCCUGAGUAGGACACUUCAUUUAGUUUUCUGAUCCACACAAGGAGAACCCGUCCGGGCGCAUGAGGCUUGCGGGUACAGAGUGUGUCUUCCCAAGGAAGGCAGGCUACCUACCUCCCACGUGUCCGGCAUGUAACCCAUCAGCUGACUCCUGACAGUGCAGAGGCCAGAGGCCAGAC